GGGCGCGUAGCUCAGAUGGUUAGAGCGUCUGGUUUACACCCAGAAGGUCAGUGGUUCGAAUCCGCUCGCGCCCA
rnacentral:tRNA from 1 species